AUGUAAACUAUUAAACAACAAAUUAUACAGGUUAGAGGAUGAUGGGUUAU
rnacentral:guide_RNA from 1 species